CCGCACGGGUGAGUAACACGUAUCCAACCUGCCGUCUACUCUUGGACAGCCUUCUGAAAGGAAGAUUAAUACAAGAUGGCAUCAUGAGUCCGCAUGUUCACAUGAUUAAAGGUGUUCCGGUAGACGAUGGGGAUGCGUUCCAUUGGAUAGUAGGCGGGGUAACGGCCCACCUAGUCUUCGAUGGAUAGGGGUUCUGAGAGGAAGGUCCCCCACAUUGGAACUGAGACACGGUCCAA
rnacentral:rRNA from 1 species